rnacentral:rRNA from 1 species
GAGUUUGAUCCUGGCUCAGAGCGAACGCUGGCGGCAGGCUUAACACAUGCAAGUCGAACGCUCGUAGCAAUACGGGAGUGGCAGACGGGUGAGUAACGCGUGGGAACAUACCUUUUGGUUCGGAACAACCCAGGGAAACUUGGGCUAAUACCGGAUAAGCCCUUACGGGGAAAGAUUUAUCGCCGAAAGAUUGGCCCGCGUCUGAUUAGCUAGUUGGUGAGGUAACGGCUCACCAAGGCGACGAUCAGUAGCUGGUCUGAGAGGAUGAUCAGCCACAUUGGGACUGAGACACGGCCCAGACUCCUACGGGAGGCAGCAGUGGGGAAUUUUGGACAAUGGGGGCAACCCUGAUCCAGCCAUGCCGCGUGCGGGAAGAAGGCCUUCGGGUUGUAAACCGCUUUUAGCCGGGAAGAAAAGGCCAUCCCUAACAGGGGUGGUUUUUGACGGUACCGGCGGAAUAAGCACCGGCUAACUACGUGCCAGCAGCCGCGGUACGCC